ensembl:lncRNA
AUGGAGGCUGAAAAUCGGCAGACAAGAGAAACUAUGGAAACUUUGCUCAACACAGAAAAUGGCUUUAUAAAGGAGCUGGAGAAAGUCUUGAACCAGCACGACGUCGCGCAGCAGAGGAGACUCGAGCUGCUUCACAAACAGUGGACUGAGCGUCUGUGGUUACCUCAUCAAAAACUGCUGAACCAACGCCUGUCCCGCUGUUGGACUAUAGACGUCAAGAGACGCCUGAGCUUAUACAACCACUUCCUGCAACACUGCAACAGGAAGGGAUAUGUGUUUCUAGACACCUACAACCUGAGGGAGUAUGAUCCCUUUUUCUGGUCCUUGACUGACAACUUCCAUCAGUUGGCAGAAAUGAAGGAUAGGCCUAAAGAAGCUUGGACACCAAAUUCCAUUGAAGACGAUUCAUCAGAGAGCAGCAGAGAAGGAGGCAGAUUACCUCAUCAUUUUCAGUCCUCCCUGGUUUCUAACAGCCCUGUGAUGCCCAGCGCACUACAGCAGGGGAUUACAACUCCUUAUGCCUCUUCCGCUUCUACAGAAACACAGAGCAAAGCUGUGAGGAUGCUUGGCAGGUUUGAUAAGGACCCAUGCCACAUUGAUACGAAGUACAGAGAUUGCCGUCGGUGUGACUGUAGGUUCUCCCCAAGAAGAGCUGAGUUUGAAUAAAAUGUGUAGCAGACUAGACAGUAAAUGUUUACAUGCAAAAAUGAAAUCUACCUCACCCAUUUACAGUUCACGCAGGUCACAUAACAGCAGAGUGGAAUGAGAAAGAAAGACGCUGGUGCCAUUUUCCAGCUUUAAUGGCAUAUACGUAUUUCUUUUAAAUGUACAGUAGUGUGCAACUGCGCAACAGUGUUUCACAAUCAGACAUUUCUAAAAACAUGUCAGAUUCAUAAAAAAAUUUAAAAAAGAGGUUGGACAAUGUGUAUUGGUUAUUGUAAUUAGGACAUAAAUGUAUCCGGAUAAAGAGAAAAUAAAAACUCUUCAAAACAUUAUGUUAAGGCACAUUGACAUGAUUAAAGGUGAAUUGGGCCUGGGCAGUCAUAUUGGCAUUUUGGAUUUGGCAGUAGAUGUUUGAAAAUAAAAGUGACUUAUAAAAAGUGUAAAUUCAGAGUGUGUUUGUGGUCUGUUCAUUUAGUGGGCUCGUAAAGCUGCAGGUCCAGUUUGACCGAGACUUCUCCGGUCGGGACCUCGUGCAGCAGAAGUCGACGGGUCGCAGCUCCUUUGCUCUCCAUUUCUUUCUUUAUUGUAGCUACCGGGACUUCGGUGCGACCCAGAAAAUCUGAAAGACAAGAGCAGUAAAAUGUUUUGUUCCAAAUUAAUACACACUAAAUAUCUAUAGAAAAUAAAGAUUCAAACCAUCUGGAGAGAACUGGUCUUUCUCGAACACAGUGAUACACAGGACGUCCUGAUACACGUCUUUGAUAAAGAACUGGCAGUUGAAGUUCCACUUUGGGUUGAGAGUGUCGCUCACGGGACGAGAGGUGUAGCACUGAGCCCCCAUGGUCAACUCGCAGUAUGGAUUACUCUUACCUGGAAUUAAAAUUACCAGUAAUAUUUAGAAAUUCUUUGAAUCAUAAUUACUUAUUUAAUUAAAAUGGAGCUCACCAUUUGGCUUACAGGCUUUGAGUUCUUGAGCUUCAGUGACCGUCACCAGCAGUCGCCCAAUACCACUGGAUUUAAGAGAACGAGCUAAAAACAACAUUGUGUAAGUGAGAAAAUGCAUAGAGUGAAAUUCAUUUACAAUGCAAUAUUUGUACCUUGAUAGGCCUUCUCUCGUUUUUUCUUCUCUGUCUCAAUAAAAUGCUCAGAAGCUGCUUUGAUUUUUGGACCCAAGCCGCCCUACAGUAAAUCAUCACUGUUACCAUGUGACUGAGUUCAUUAGUUAGCUUAAGGAAGCUUACCUCUCAUUUAGAGUCUCGGUCUUGAGUGUGUAGACCCGGUCAAUGUGGGAUACAUGAAAUACAGGCUCAUCACUGGAAGGAUCCGGAGGCAUUUUUACCAAAACUUCAUUCAAGAAUAAAGGCUGAAGCGGAACAAUAAAAAGUGAUGAGUACUUCAUAUUCACUCAAAAGGAGUCAAGCUUCACCCCAUUGUUACCGUUUUGUACAUCUUAAGUUGAAUGUUGGUUUUGGGGCUGAACAGCUUGUCUGUUCCUGAAGAUGAGAAUGGUUUGGCGCUGUGCGUGAGCAGGAGGAAGUCACUGAAGAGAAAAGCCCACAGCUCUCGGCUGCUCUUGGUUUUGUACAGACGCCCACUGUGCAGCAGCUUACGGGGCCCCAGGCAGUUCGUCAAAGAAUUGAACACCAAAUGCUGAGACGAGACAAGAGUAGCCACUUGUCAGUUGCAGUAAUAAAGGUGAAACUCGGAAAAUUAGAAUAUUGUUCAAAAGUUCAUUUAUUUCUGUAAUUCAACUUAAAAUGUGAAACUAAUAUAUGAUGGACUCAUUACAUUCAAAGUGACAUAUGUCAAGCUUUUAUUUGUUAUAAUUUUAAUGAUUAUGGCUUAUAGUCCAUUUUCAAAAUAUUCGGAGAUUUUUAAUUUGGGGUUUUUACAAGCUGUGAGCCAUAAUAAUCAGAAUUAUAACAAAUAAAGGCUAUACAUAUCUCACUUUGCAUGUAAUGAGUCCAUCAUAUAUUAGUUUCACAGUUUAAGUUGAAUUACAGAAAUGAAUUUUAUUCUAAUAU